rnacentral:rRNA from 1 species
GAUGAACGCUGGCGGCGUGCUUAACACAUGCAAGUCGAACGAUGAAGCUGGAGCUUGCUCUGGUGGAUUAGUGGCGAACGGGUGAGUAACACGUGAGCAACCUGCCCCUGACUCUGGGAUAACAGCCGGAAACGGCUGCUAAUACCGGAUAUGCACCAUGAACGCAUGUUCUGUGGUGGGAAGGAUUUUUCGGUUGGGGAUGGGCUCGCGGCCUAUCAGCUUGUUGGUGAGGUAAUGGCUCACCAAGGCGUCGACGGGUAGCCGGCCUGAGAGGGUGACCGGCCACACUGGGACUGAGACACGGCCCAGACUCCUACGGGAGGCAGCAGUGGGGAAUAUUGCACAAUGGGCGAAAGCCUGAUGCAGCAACGCCGCGUGAGGGAUGACGGCCUUCGGGUUGUAAACCUCUUUUAGCAGGGAAGAAGCGAGAGUGACGGUACCUGCAGAAAAAGCGCCGGCUAACUACGUG